CACAAGCGUGUGGGUAUCUCGCACCGGGGCUGCUCUCCUGCUGGGAUUGAAGCUUAAGGCGACUGUGGGUUCUUCAGACGACCUUCGUGACGACAUGAUGGAUGGUUUCCAGGUCGUGGAAAGCCGUCGGCGCCCAUUAUUCAGGAGAAGCUCGGGCCCCUGGGAGCUGUAGCGAGUCCUGGCAGCCCGUUUCUUAGGUAUGGGUGGUAUGAGACGGAUGUCGAUGGAGGAUUCUUCCUUUCGGCUUUGGGUUUUCCUGGAAGGGAGAGUGGUGGGGACUCUGUGGGCUUCAUGAGGUGUCUAUUGCUCGGUUGGGUGAGUUUCUGAAUUCUUAGUUGUCUUUAUGUAGGAUGUCGUUGUUCUGUCGUUUUAUUUUGGUGACUAAACUCGAAGCUUCGAGAGAGCUCGCAUUCAGCUUUGCAUUAAAAUUAUAGAUGCAAUCUAAUAUAUAUAUAUAUAUAUAUAUAUAUAUAUAUAUAUAUAUAUAUAUAUAUAUAUAUAUAUAUAUAUAUAAAAGUAGAAAUUGAAAGAAAAUUUAUUAACAAUUGAAGCUGUCCACGUAAGGAGCAACUUCUCACCUAUGAAUGCCAUCUAGAUUAUAUUAAUUUUCAGUAUGCCAUGUGUCUUCGAUUAUUUUAUCUAACAAUCUUUAAGUAUUGAAUGAUAGCAUUAUGUUAUUAAAAAAAGUGCAUUGAAGCUUAUUUAUAUGUAUUAAAUUUUGUUAUGAAAGUAUGAUAUUAUUGUACUCUUGCAAUUAAAAUCCACUUAGAAUAUGGAUCGACAUCAGAAAUUUGAAUCUACAUUAUGUUCUUAUUUAUAAAUAAUUUUUGAGAAAAAUGAUCAAUUACCUAGAACCCACGUGCAAUGCGCGGGCUCAAAACUAGUUUUAUAAAUUUCAGAGACCAUUUGAUCUCAUACCAAAUGCUGCUAUUGUUGAUAGAAAAAUAUAAAUUUUGUAUUAAAUUCUUUGUUGCCCUUACGUAAUUUGCCGGUAAUUUUGUUGUUUGGUUUGUUGUUGGGCUUAUAUUCUGCAUUAAUAUGGUGAGUGCAAGAGAGGAUUUAAUCUCAUACGAGAUGCCGUCAGUGGUAAUAGAAAUGCGUGGUUUCUUUUGUUUCGUACUAAAUUCUUUGUUGCCCUCACAUAACUUGCUGUAAAUUUGUCAUUUGGUUUUGGUAAUGAACCUGAAGGUUUGAGAAAGUUCUUGUAUUUAGUUUUGCAUGAGUGUCGUGGAUGCAAUUUUACAGAUUUGAGAGAGGGUUUAAUCUCUCACAUAGUGCCUCUAUUGGUAAUGGAAAUUGAUGGUUUCUUCUGUUUCGUAUUAAAUUCUUUGUUGCCUUUAUAUAACUUGCUGUUGGCUCGUCGUUUGGUUUUGGCAAUGAAGAAUCUUCGAGAGACAACUUGCAUUCAAUUUCACACUGAUAGGUGCAGUUUUUCACCCAUUUGAGAGAGGAUUUAAUCUGAUACUGGUGGUAGGAGUGCAUGUGGUUUCUAUUCUUUCAUACCAAAUUCUUUGUUACCUUUAUGUAGCUUGCCGUUAGUUUGUUCUUUGGUUUUGAUAAUAAACCAGAAUCUUUAAGAUAUAUCUUGCAUUCACUUUCACACUAAUAUUGUGGGUGCAAUUUCCCAGAUUUGACAUUAGGAUUUAAUCUCAUACCGAGUGCCGCUAUUGGUAGUACAAAUGAAUGGUCUCUUUUGUUUUGAACUAAAUUUUUUGUUUCCUUUAUAUAACUUGCUAUUAGUUUGUUGUUUGGUUUUGGUAACGAACCUGAAACUUUGAGAGAAAACUAACAUGGAGUUUUGCAUGAAUGUUGUGGAUACAAUUUCACAGAUUUGAGAGAGGAUUUAAUCUCAUAUCGAGCGCCUGCUAUUGGUAAUAGGAAUAAAUGAUUUCUUUCACUUUAUAGGUUUGUUGCCUUCAUAAAGCUGGCUGUUUGUUUGUCUAGAUUUUGGUAAUUAAGCCCGAAGCUUCGAGAGAGAACUUGCAUUCAAUUUUGCAUUAAUAUUGUGGGUGCAAUUUCACAUAUUUGAGAGGACAUAUCUCAUACAAGGUGCUGCUAUCAGUAAUAAUAAUGCAUGGUUUAUUUCAUUUCCUACUAAAUUCUUUGUUAUCUUUAUAUAACUUGGCAUUAGCUUGUCGUUUUGCAUUAGUAAUAAGCAGGAAGCUUCGAGAGAGGUCACAUACAAUUUUGCAUUAAUGUUGUGGGUGCAGUUUCAUAGAUUUGAAAGAGGACUAAAUCUCAUACAGAGUGCCCCUGUUGGGUAAUAGAAAUGCUUGGUUUGUUUCCUACCAAAGUCUUUGUUGCCUCUUUAUAACUUGCCAUUAGUUUGUCGUUUGGGUUUGGUAAUGAACCUGAAGCUUUGAGAAAGAGCUCACACUUAAUAUUGCAUUAAUUUUGGGAGUGCGAUUUUACAAAUUUGAGGGAGGACUUAGUGCUGCAUCGAGUGCAUUACCAGUAAUAGCAAUACAUGGUUUCAUUUGUUUCACACUAAAUUCUUUGUUGCCUUUUGAUAGCUUGCCAUUGAUUUGUCUUUUGGUUUUGUGAAAGAACUGGAAGCUAGCAUUCAGUUUUGCAUUAAUAUUGUGGAUGCAAUUUUAUACGUGUAUCAAUAUCAGUUGGUUUAUUGUUUAUUUUUGGUGGAUGAACCUGAAGCUUCGAGAGAGAUCUUGUAAUUGAUUUUGUGUUUAAUAUUGCUGACAUAAUUUCAUAGGUUUGAGAGAGAACUUAAUAUGUGAUUUCUUUUGGUUUUACAGGAGUUUCAUGAUUUAUUGUUACUGAAUAAAAACCAGCACCAUGUGUAGGUUAAAUAUCAUAGAACUUAACACUUCAUGAUUUGCUCAGCCAAUAGAAAGAUAUUUACAUAUAGAGUUCUCAGCUAGUGGUCAGAAAGCCAUUGCCAAGAUUUUUUAUGAAAAUUUACAUGGAAUUUAAAUUAUCAAAGAGUAGCAAUGUAUUUUCUUAUUCAUGAAAUUUCUAAAUUACUUGGUUGAUAUAUGUUCUCCAUGUGAUGAUCAGUCUUUGACUUGUGUCAUCAAACUUGUGGAUCAUAUUGAUUGGAGAAAAAUGCCAACCCUGAAUAAAUUGGCAUAUUAUUAGUGAUUUUCCUGAAGGAGAGCUAGUGGUUGAUUUGCUUAAUUCUCAUCCACCAAUGGUCUUGAACUCAUCAUUUCAAGAAGAUUGCUUCUCUUGCUUUGUCCUCCCACCAAGAGCAUAAUUAAAUCUUAACAAAUAAAAAAAUACUGUAAUUUCUAAAAGAUAAAUCCUUUGUAAGAAUGUCAUUUUUGCAUACAUGUAUUAGGUUAAACAAAUAAGCAAUGCUUUAAUAUGGUUUUCUCUACCUUCUUUGCCUCCAUAAAGAGCUUCGUGGAACUAUUUCCUGAAAAGUAGUGUAAUUUUUCUUUUUUUGGAUGAACUGAGAACUAGUGCAAUAAAUUUAGUCUUAGUAUGGGCCAAUUAGAUAUACAAAACUACGUGUUCUAGCAAACUUUUUUUUCUUUUCAGAUAGAGGAGGGAAACCCAAUAGAAGAAGAAGUGCUUGGACCAGGCCAGGGUUUUUACUUCAGAACAUCUCCCUAAAGUCGAAAUCUUGCAUGACAAAACCCAAGCUGCAUAUACUUUCAUUUUUCUUUGGUAAUGCAACAUGCAUAAAAGGCGAAAGAGGG
rnacentral:lncRNA from 1 species